rnacentral:rRNA from 1 species
UACGGAGGGUGCGAGCGUUGUUCGGAAUCACUGGGCGUAAAGGGCGUGUAGGCGGUCCGCUAAGUCUGAUGUGAAAGCCCGGGGCUCACCCCCGGAAGUGCAUUGGAAACUGGCGGACUCGAGUCCCGGAGAGGAGAGUGGAAUUCCUGGCGUAGCGGUGAAAUGCGUAGAUAUCAGGAGGAACACCGGUGGCGAAGGCGGCUCUCUGGACGGUGACUGACGCUGAGACGCGAAAGCGUGGGGAGCAAACAGG